rnacentral:rRNA from 1 species
GUCAAGUCAUCAUGGCCCUUAUGUCCAGGGCUACACACGUGCUACAAUGGAUAGUACAGAGCGGAGCGAAGCCGCGAGGCGAAAGCGAAUCGCUUAAAGCUAUCCGUAGUCCGGAUUGAAGUCUGAAACCCGACUUCAUGAAGUUGGAAUCGCUAGUAAUCGCGCAUCAGCAUGGCGCGGUGAAUACGUUCCCGGGCCUU